AUACGGAGGGUGCAAGCGUUACUCGGAAUCACUGGGCGUAAAGCGCGCGCAGGCGGCUUGAUAAGUUGGAUGUGAAAGCCUACGGCUCAACCGUAGAACUGCAUCCAAAACUAUUAGACUAGAGUGUGGGAGAGGAAGAUGGAAUUAGUUGUGUAGGGGUAAAAUCCGUAGAGAUAACUAGGAAUACCAAAAGCGAAGGCAAUCUUCUGGAACACUACUGACGCUGAGGCGCGAAAGCGUGGGGAGCAAACAGGAUUAGAUACCCCGGUAGUCC
rnacentral:rRNA from 1 species